CCUAGCUUGCUAGGUGGAUUAGUGGCGAACGGGUGAGUAAUACGUGAGUAACCUACCUUUAACUCUGGGAUAAGCCUGGGAAACUGGGUCUAAUACCGGAUACGACCAAUCUCCGCAUGGGGUGUUGGUGGAAAGCGUUAUGUAGUGGUUAUAGAUGGGCUCACGGCCUAUCAGCUUGUUGGUGAGGUAACGGCUCACCAAGGCGACGACGGGUAGCCGGCCUGAGAGGGUGACCGGCCACACUGGGACUGAGACAUGGCCCAGACUCCUACGGGAGGCAGCAGUGGGGAAUAUUGCACAAUGGGCGCAAGCCUGAUGCAGCGACGCCGCGUGAGGGAUGACGGCCUUCGGGUUGUAAACCU
rnacentral:rRNA from 1 species